rnacentral:rRNA from 1 species
GACGAACGCUGGCGGCGUGCCUAAUACAUGCAAGUCGAACGCAGGGGGGACGGGUGAGUAACACGUGGGUAACCUCCCAUCAGAGGGGAUAACACUUGGAAAAAGGUGCUAAACCGAUAGUGGUGGAUGGACCCGCGGUGGAUGAGCUAGUGGGUGAGGUAACGGCUCCCCAAGGCCCCGAUGCAUAGCGGACCUGAGAGGGUGACCAGCCACACUGGGACUGAGACACGGCCCAGACGCCUACGGGAGGCAGCAGUAGGGAAUAUUCGGCAAUGGACGAAAGUCUGACCCAGCAACGCCGCGGGAGUGAAGAAGGUUUUCGGAUUGUAAAACUCUGUUGUUAGAGAAGCGGUAUCUAACCAGAAAGCCACGGCUAACUACGUGCCAGCAGCCGCGGUAAUAC